UUGCGUAGGCCUUUGCUUCG
rnacentral:miRNA from 1 species